rnacentral:tRNA from 1 species
AGAAAUUUAAGUUAUAUCAAACUAAGAGCCUUCAAAGCCCCCAAAAAAGUUCACCACUUUAGUUUCUG